GCGCUUGGGGGUGAUUCCACCCAGGAGUUUCCCCUUUUGAAGUUAACCCCUAUGCAUAGUUAUUGCUGUUCUCUUCUACUUGUUCUAACUCAGAGGACCCAAGAUUUUCUAGAAGUACCAAGGCAGUGUGUGUAUUGCACUGGUUUAAAAAAUUUUUUUAGGUUGAAGUAAAAUCUUACGGAGAAAGCCAAAGUGUAAAGCAGACAAAGCACAGGUGCUCUUCUCUAUGGGGUGGGUUGAAACUCAUUCUAUGCAUAUAAAAUAAUAAUUCUUGCUGUUUCGUGUCAAUCACAGCUCCGGGAUCUGAAGAUAAAGGAAUGAGUAAAUUUGUCUGCAUCCAGCUAUAUCCCCAGAGAGGCAUUCUCCACAGCAACUUGCUUUUCUUAAAUGUCCUAACUGGCUGCCCCACUGCAAAUAGCGCCUCUCCCAUCACAGGAAGAACUCUGCUG
rnacentral:lncRNA from 1 species